UUCAGUUUGGUACCUUUUUAAAGUUGCCUGCAAUCAAAGCAUUUACAUCAUCUCAUAAUGCACUCAGCCAUGUAUCCGGGAGCUCUGUGCCUAAGUGUUUGUGAUGCAACUUCUCCAGGACAGUGGAAAGACCCCAAAAGACUGGAGAGAAGGAAUUUGUGUACAACAGACACAGACCACGCAGGUCCAGUGGAACACAGGGAACCCAGAGGAAAAGCUCCAGGACAUCACACCUGCUCAAGGUACACAAAAAACCGCUGGGAAAGGUGAAGAAACAAUUUACAGCCAGCGCCUGCAGCAGCUGGAAGGAGCACAACUAAUGGAUCUUUUCUCCAUCAGCCCAGGCAGUCUCUGGAAGUGUUUCAGGCUUUGCACUGCCACAGAGGUUGAUUGUUAGCAGAACCAGUCCCUGGGCGUGAGCGCCUGAGAAACGGCAAAAACCUUGGCAAUGGAAAUUCCCCUUUGGAGUC